rnacentral:rRNA from 1 species
GGGGAAUUUUCGCAAUGGGCGAAAGCCUGACGGAGCGACGCCGCGUGUGGGAUGAAGGCCUUCGGGUUGUAAACCACUGUCAGUGGGGAGCAAAUGGCUAGGGGUUCUCCCCUAGUCUUGAGCGAUCCGCAGAGGAAGCACAGGCUAAUUCCGUGCCAGCAGCCGCGGUAAUACGGAAUGUGCAAACGUUAUUCGGAAUCACUGGGCUUAAAGAGUCCGUAGGCGGCAUGUUAGGUGAGGUGUGAAAUCCCCCGGCUCAACCGAGGAAUUGCGCUUCAAACCGGCGUGCUAGAGGAAGAUAGAGGUGGGCGGAACUGAUGGUGGAGCGGUGAAAUGCGUUGAUAUUGGAAAGACCACCGAUGGCGAAGGCACUCUACUGGGCCAUUACUGACACUGAGAGACGAAAGCUAGGGGAGCAAAGGGAUUAGAUACCCCUGUAGUC